GUAGGUGGCAAGCGUUGUCCGGAAUUAUUGGGCGUAAAGCGCGCGCAGGUGGGGUUUCGUUUUAAGUCUGAUGUGAAAGACCCCCGGGCUCAACCGGGGGAGGGUCAUUGGAAACUGGGGAACUUGAGUGCAGGAGAGGAAAGUGGAAUUCCACGUGUAGCGGUGAAAUGCGUAGAUAUGUGGAGGAACACCAGUGGCGAAGGCGACUUUCUGGCCUGUAACUGACACUGAGGCGCGAAAGCGUGGGGAGCAAACAGGAUUAGAUACCCUGGUAGUCCACGCCGUAAACGGUGAGUGCUAAGUGUUGGGGGGGUUUCCGCCCCUCAGUGCUGCAGCUAACGCAUUAAGCACUCCGCCUGGGGAGUACGGUCGCAAAGACUG
rnacentral:rRNA from 1 species